GGGAAGUUGGCUCAGUGGUAGAGCACUUGCCUUGCAUGCAUGAAGCUCUGUGUUCGACUCCUCA
rnacentral:tRNA from 1 species